rnacentral:tRNA from 1 species
GGAGAGGUGGUCGAGCGGUUGAAGGCUCCAGUCUUGAAAACUGGCGAUGUCGCAAGGCAUCCGUGGGUUCGAAUCCCACCCUCUCUG